CCUGAUGCAGCACGCCGCGUGAGUGAUGACGGUCUUCGGAUUGUAAAGCUCUGUCUUUAGGGACGAUAAUGACGGUACCUAAGGAGGAAGCCACGGCUAACUACGUGCCAGCAGCCGCGGUAAUACGUAGGUGGCAAGCGUUGUCCGGAUUUACUGGGCGUAAAGGGAGCGUAGGUGGAUAUUUAAGUGGGAUGUGAAAUACCCGGGCUUAACCUGGGUGCUGCAUUCCAAACUGGAUAUCUAGAGUGCAGGAGAGGAAAGGAGAAUUCCUAGUGUAGCGGUGAAAUGCGUAGAGAUUAGGAAGAAUACCAGUGGCGAAGGCGCCUUUCUGGACUGUAACUGACACUGAGGCUCGAAAGCGUGGGGAGCAAACAGGAUUAGAUACC
rnacentral:rRNA from 1 species